GACGAACGCUGGCGGCGUGCUUAACACAUGCAAGUCGAACGGAAAGGCCCUGCUUUUGUGGGGUGCUCGAGUGGCGAACGGGUGAGUAACACGUGAGUAACCUGCCCUUGACUUUGGGAUAACUUCAGGAAACUGGGGCUAAUACCGGAUAGGAGCUCCUGCUGCAUGGUGGGGGUUGGAAAGUUUCGGCGGUUGGGGAUGGACUCGCGGCUUAUCAGCUUGUUGGUGGGGUAGUGGCUUACCAAGGCUUUGACGGGUAGCCGGCCUGAGAGGGUGACCGGCCACAUUGGGACUGAGAUACGGCCCAGACGGCUACGUGAGGCAGCAGUGGGGAAUAUUGCACAAUGGGCGGAAGCCUGAUGCAGCAACGCCGCGUGCGGGAUGACGGCCUUCGGGUUGUAAACCGCUUUCGCCUGUGACGAAGCGUGAGUGACGGUAAUGGGUAAAGAAGCACCGGCUAACUACGUG
rnacentral:rRNA from 1 species